rnacentral:rRNA from 1 species
AUAAUGGGUCAGCGACUUAUAUUCUGUAGCAAGGUUAACCGAAUAGGGGAGCCGAAGGGAAACCGAGUCUUAACUGGGCGUUAAGUUGCAGGGUAUAGACCCGAAACCCGGUGAUCUAGCCAUGGGCAGGUUGAAGGUUGGGUAACACUAACUGGAGGACCGAACCGACUAAUGUUGAAAAAUUAGCGGAUGACUUGUGGCUGGGGGUGAAAGGCCAAUCAAACCGGGAGAUAGCUGGUUCUCCCCGAAAGCUAUUUAGGUAGCGCCUCGUGAAUUCAUCUCCGGGGGUAGAGCACUGUUUCGGCAAGGGGGUCAUCCCGACUUACCAACCCGAUGCAAACUGCGAAUACCGGAGAAUGUUAUCACGGGAGACACACGGCGGGUGCUAACGUCCGUCGUGAAGAGGGAAACAACCCAGACCGCCAGCUAAGGUCCCAAAGUCAUGGUUAAGUGGGAAACGAUGUGGGAAGGCCCAGACAGCCAGGAUGUUGGCUUAGAAGCAGCCAUCAUUUAAAGAAAGCGUAAUAGCUCACUGGUCGAGUCGGCCUGCGCGGAAGAUGUAACGGGGCUAAACCAUGCACCGAAGCUGCGGCAGCGACGCUUAUGCGUUGUUGGGUAGGGGAGCGUUCUGUAAGCCUGUGAAGGUGUACUGUGAGGUAUGCUGGAGGUAUCAGAAGUGCGAAUGCUGACAUAAGUAACGAUAAAGCGGGUGAAAAGCCCGCUCGCCGGAAGACCAAGGGUUCCUGUCCAACGUUAAUCGGGGCAGGGUGAGUCGACCCCUAAGGCGAGGCCGAAAGGCGUAGUCGAUGGGAAACAGGUUAAUAUUCCUGUACUUGGUGUUACUGCGAAGGGGGGACGGAGAAGGCUAUGUUGGCCGGGCGACGGUUGUCCCGGUUUAAGCGUGUAGGCUGGUUUUCCAGGCAAAUCCGGAAAAUCAAGGCUGAGGCGUGAUGACGAGGCACUACGGUGCUGAAGCAACAAAUGCCCUGCUUCCAGGAAAAGCCUCUAAGCAUCAGGUAACAUCAAAUCGUACCCCAAACCGACACAGGUGGUCAGGUAGAGAAUACCAAGGCGCUUGAGAGAACUCGGGUGAAGGAACUAGGCAAAAUGGUGCCGUAACUUCGGGAGAAGGCACGCUGAUAUGUAGGUGAAGUCCCUCGCGGAUGGAGCUGAAAUCAGUCGAAGAUACCAGCUGGCUGCAACUGUUUAUUAAAAACACAGCACUGUGCAAACACGAAAGUGGACGUAUACGGUGUGACGCCUGCCCGGUGCCGGAAGGUUAA